rnacentral:rRNA from 1 species
AUCAGCGGUGAAGCCGGACUGGAAAGUACGGUGGAGCGGUAGGAAGUGAGAAUGCUGGAAUGAGUAACCAUAAGAUAGGUGAGAAUCCUGUCGGCCGUAAGAGCAAGGUUUCCUGAGCCAUGGUAAUCAUCUCAGGGUUAGUCGGGCCUAAGCCGAGGCGCAUAGCGUAGGCGAUGGACAUCAGGUUAAUAUUCCUGAACCGGUUAAGUUUUGUACACUGUUCACGGGGAAGUAGUGAGAGCGGAUUCAUGGUAUGUAUCCGUCCAACCUAGCGGGAACGCGAAGGGAGUGAAAGUUAGUCUUCGGACUGACGAUUCUUGCAAAAGCCCUGGCUAGAAAAGCAGAUGUACUUACGGACUUAGCCGCCCGUACCGCAAACCAACACAGGUGCUCGAGUCGAGUAGACUCAGGCUUACGAGAGAACCUUCGCUAAGGAACUCGGCAAUACAGCGACCGUAACUUCGGGAUAAGGUCUGCCCCCACAUCAUUUGAUGUGAGCCGCGUUCACCUCAGCAAGGUGGUUAAAAAACGCAGUGAUAGGAAGAUAAAAGCGUCUAUCAUUGUAAGUGAGUACGCUUGGGUUCAUGAAAAUGAAUUCGAGUGAUCAAAUCCUUUUUAAAACCAUUUAGAAUUUUUCUGAGAUAGACUAAUCAUGAUUGAUUACGCUUUUUGAACGCGAAUCUCUUGCAUCGUAUGAUGUGGGGGCCGCAGCAAAAGAGCCCACGGAACUGUUUACCAAAAACACAGGUCUCUGCUAAUUCGAAAGAAGAUGUAUAGGGGCUGACUCCUGCCCGGUGCCGGAAGGUUAAGGGGAGCGCUUUACGGUGCGAACUGAAGCCCCGGUGAACGGCGGCGGUAACUAUAACCGUCCUAAGGUAGCGAAAUUCCUUGUCAGGUAAGUUCUGACCCGCACGAAUGGAGUAAUCAUGUGGGCACUGUCUCAGCGAAGGACUCGGUGAAAGUGCAUUGGCGGUAAAGAUGCCGUCUGUCCGUACCAGGACGAGAAGACCCCAUGGAGCUUUACUACAGCUUUACAUUGUUCCGGGUUACAACAUGUGUAGCAUAGGUGGGAGCCUUUGAAGCAGAUACGCUAGUAUUUGUGGAGGCACCGGUGAAAUACCACCCUUGUUGUGAUCUUGAUCUAACCGAUACCGUUAUCCGGUAUCGGGACCGUGUAUGGUGGGUAGUUUAACUGGGGCGGUUGCCUCCUAAAGAGUAGCGGAGGCGUUCAAAGGUUGGCUAACUUCGGAUGGAAAUCGAAGUGAUAGUGUAUGCGCAUAAGCCAGCUUGACUGUGAGGAGUACAUUCCAAGCAGAGACGAAAGUCGGAGCAAGUGAUCCGCUGUACGUACAUUUGUACAUGAAUGUGGGAUCGACAGCGCAAACGGAUAAAAGUUACCCUGGGGAUAACAGGCUUAUCGCGCCCAAUAGUUCACAUAGACGGCGCGGUUUGGCACCUCGAUGUCGGCUCAUCACAUCCUGGAGGGGGAGCACCUUCCAAGGGUUCGGCUGUUCGCCGAUUAAAGUGGUACGCGAGCUGGGUUCAGAACGUCGUGAGACAGUUCGGUUUAUAUCCGGUACGGACGUUAGGAAAUUUGAGAGGAUCUGCCCCUAGUACGAGAGGACCGGGGUGGACGAACCUCUGGUGUAUCGAUUGUGGCCACCUGCUGCAUUGUCGAGUAGCUAUGUUCGGAUUAGAUAAGCGCUGAAAGCAUAUUAAGCGCGAAACUAACCUCAAGAUUAGAUUUCCCUAUGAGGACACAGAGAGACGAUCUGUUUGAUAGGUGCAAGGUGGAAGUGUGGUAACAUAUGGAGCCGAAGCAUACUAAUAGUCCCAUUGCCUUUU